CCUACGGGUGGCAGCAGUGAGGAAUAUUGGUCAAUGGACGAGAGUCUGAACCAGCCAAGUAGCGUGAAGGAUGACUGCCCUAUGGGUUGUAAACUUCUUUUAUAUGGGAAUAAAACAGGGUAUGCAUACCCUCUUGUAUGUACCAUAUGAAUAAGGAUCGGCUAACUCCGGGCCAGCAGCCGCGGUAAUCCGGAGGAUCCGAGCGUUAUCCGGAUUGAUUGGGUGUAAAGGGUGCGUAGGUGGAUUGUUAAGUCAGGUGGGAAAGUUUGCGGCACAACCGUAAAAUUGCAGUUGAAACUGGCAGUCUUGAGUACAGUAGAGGUGGGCGGAAUUCGUGGUGUAGCGGUGAAAUGCUUAGAUAUCACGAAGAACUCCGAUUGCGAAGGCAGCUCACUGGACUGCAACUGACACUGAUGCUCGAAAGUGUGGGUAUCAAACAGGAUUAGAUACCCCUGUAGUC
rnacentral:rRNA from 1 species